rnacentral:rRNA from 1 species
UGCGCAGGCGGAACUUUAAGUCAGUGGUGAAAUCUUGCCGCUUAACGGUAAAAUUGCCAUUGAUACUGAAGUUCUUGAAUAUGGUUGAGGUAGGCGGAAUGUGUUGUGUAGCUGUGAAAUGCAUAGAUAUGACACAGAACGCCGAUUGCGAAGGCAGCUUACUAAGCCAUUAUUGACGCUGAGGUACGAAAGCGUGGGGAGCGAACAGGAUUAGAUACCCUGGUAGUCC